UAGAAUAUGAUAUACUUGAAAUGUUGAACCUGCCAUGGGGGCUGAGUGUGGACGGAGGAGCUGAACACGCAGCGCCGGAUGAAGCUCAAUGAAACCUCUAUUGCAGAUAUGAUAAAUAAUGAUGAUGUAUGUGGAAUGAUAGAGUAGGGCUCAACAAGGAAACAUAGUUAAUGGUCCAUGUGUGAAAGAAGGAAGAGGAAAUAGUUUUAAAACUUCAGACUUAUCACUCAAGGUUAAUUUGCCAUCCAACAAAGUAGGUGGCGAUAAUGCUCCUUUGGAGUUAAUCGCCAUUAAACAAGAAGAAGAAGAAGAAGAAGAAAUGGCAGGAAGUUGGUUCUCUAAAUGCAAAGAGAGGCUUGCCUCAUGGUGGUUGUGGCCUUUUUACCCUGGUUGAGGAACUUUAGAGUUCUAAGCUCAUCUAGGGUUUGUGUUCUAAAUGUAUAUGGAUUACUUGGGGGUGUAAACAACUGAGAAGAUUGGAACUAAGAGUUGGUUUCCAUUUAUUACUUGACUGUUGCCUGUUGCAAGUCAAUAUUUUACUUCAAAUGUGGACAAAGCUCUUUGACGAUUGAACUCUGCUGUGGAUCAUCUUGUCACUUAAGUACUGUUUUCUUUAUUCAUUUUCAACAAAGACUGAGCAAAGCUUAUGGUCCUAAUUGAUGAGAAACCAAGGACUGUGCUUUAUGUGAUGGACUGAAUUUCUUAUCCUUUGGUUCUAACUGUUUGAUGUUAGGAAUUUGUGUCAGGUUGAAUAAUGAAUGUUGUGUGUGACUAUGUUUAAUACAUUUGACUCAUGAGAAAGAUUGGUCUGGUUGAUCCCUUAUUUUAUGCAGCACUUAAGUAAAAGUUAAUGGGAUAGGUGUUACACACUGGCACAGCACGUCUUCAAAGUGCUCACAGCAUGAUGCAGCAAAAGCCAAAUCAACAAUAUAUUUUCAAAAUCCAUCACAUACCCUUAUGUUGUUCACUUUCUUUUCUCUUUUCCCACUUCUCUGCAGUUUUACAGUGCUGCCUCUUAAUUUUCAAACAUUAACACACACGACUGAAACUUUAUAAAAGUUAUUAUUAUCGAGCAUUACAGUCUGAACCCUGACAUGGGGCGUCCUGGAGGCCACAGAGCCCUAUGCAACCGCUUAUAUUGCUUAUUAGGUCCCGACUCUGGUUGUGAUGGCAUUCAGGUUGUGGCGUUUUCCAUAGACCCCUAAUGACAUCACAACACAACUCAUAGUAACCGACAUAUAGAGAACAUCUCGGUUACUUUCAUAACCCUCGUUCC
ensembl:lncRNA